CUGUCGGCAACGGAUAUCUAGGCUCUCGCAUCGAUGAAGAACGUAGCGAAAUGCGAUACUUGGUGUGAAUUGCAGAAUCCCGCGAAUCAUCGAGUUUUUGAACGCAAGUUGCGCCCGAAGCCUUUCGGCCGAGGGCACGUCUGCCUGGGUGUCACGCAUCGUUGCC
rnacentral:rRNA from 1 species